rnacentral:rRNA from 1 species
CCUACGGGAGGCAGCAGUGAGGAAUAUUGGUCAAUGGACGCAAGUCUGAACCAGCCAUGCCGCGUGCAGGAAGACGGCUCUAUGAGUUGUAAACUGCUUUUGUACGAGGGUAAACGCAGAUACGCGGAUCUGUCUGAAAGUAGCGUACGAAUAAGGAUCGGCUAACUCCGUGCCAGCAGCCGCGGUAAUACGGAGGAUUCAAGCGUUAUCCGGCUUUCUUGGGUUUAAAGGGGGCGUAGGCGGUCGGAUAAGUUCGAGGGGAAAUCCCGAGGCUCACCUUCGGAAUGGCCUCUGAUACUGUUCGGCUAGAUCGUAGUUGCGGUAGGCGUAAUGUCUUGUGUAGCGGU